rnacentral:rRNA from 1 species
UACGGGGGGGGCAAGCGUUGUUCGGAAUUACUGGGCGUAAAGGCUCGUAGGUGGCCAACUAAGUCAGACGUGAAAUCCCCGUACGCGUAACCGGGACUCGUCUGAUGAGUGAGUUGAGGAUGGGAGAGGAUGUAGAAUUCCAGGUGUAGCGGUGAAAUGCGUAGAUAUCUGGAGGAAUACCGGUGGCGAAGGCGGCAUCCUGGACCAUUACUGACGCUGAGGCGCGAAAGCUAGGGGAGCAAGCGGGG